rnacentral:lncRNA from 1 species
UUCGGGGAGACGGCGGACCUGUUGUUUGGUAUGUGUGCGAAUGGGUGUCAGGCCAGUACCGAGGCUCCGUGUAUAGUUGGGACUGGCGUACUUUGAAGCGAUCUCGGAGCCUUGAUCCUAGAGUGCUAGUUGUUGGAAGUUUGCACAUGCAGAACGCGCCGCCGGGUCGCCACGUGCCUUGAAUAGAGUCCGGGAGACAACUUACUGAAGGGCCUAUGGCGCCACGAACGGAGGUUUUCUGGCUUAGGCCCAGGGCAGGCCUGAGCCUGAGCGUCGACGGGAAAGUCACCUGAGGAUUUACAAAAGAUUAUUUCAACAUGAACAGCCCCAGCUCUUUAUGGACCUUGGUGCUGCUUGAAACCCAGGCGGCGCUGUAUGCAGUACGAUUUAACGAGUGGGAGAGAAUUAACUGCAGGGAAAAAAAUUUAAACGUGACAUUCUGAGAAUGUUUGAUUGCAAGCAUCGAUCCCCCGCAGUAAUGAUGGCGCUAGCUUUCAGUGGUCAAUCGGAGCGGCUACAUGGACAUAAAAAGGUAAGGGUUACUGAGCUUAUUUUUUAAACCAAAGCUGACGUUUUUUAUUUACUGUAAUAGAAAAUGGUGUGUAACCAUUUAAAAUUUUUUUUUGGUAGAUGCAUAAGAAAAUCCCAAAACAUGUCAUGGAAUGUUUAGCAAAGAAUUAAUUGCUUAAAACCUGACAGUCAACGCUUGGUAUGUAUUCGGCCUAGUAUUCUAUAGAUAAUAUAUGUAUGAUUGGUCAAAUCAGUGAUGAAACCUAUCCCGAAGCUGAUUACCUGAAGAAAAUCAUGUACGGAUUCGGCUUCUGAGAUGAAGACCAAUAGCUGUAGAUGAAAUGUGUAAAUUUUUUGUUCCAUUCAUUCACCUUAAAUCAGAUAUAUUUGUUUUUCUGCCAACAGUGAUUGUGACUGUGUGCCCACUCAGGCCAGUUUGCUGUAAAAUUCAUAAGACAGAACAAUUUCUGACUAGCACCACAAAGUCUCCUUUUUCUACUAUGAAAACCUGGUGAUAAGAGUAAUCCAGAAAAAGCAGACAUGAAGAGAAAACAUACAGUUUGGGAUUCUAUUUUUUUUAACCAUAGCUAAACCAUGAACUAAUGGGUUUUUAACAGGAGGGUCUUGAACUUUGCAUAAUUAACCUUGUCAAAUUAUUCCUCAGUGUUUUGCCAUUAAUCACCUCUUGAAUUUAAGAUACAUAAUUGUAAUUAAAACUGAGUCAAAGUUGACACUGCCUUAUAAUUUAGUUUCUUAUAGAGAUGUCUGGUUAUUGAUUACAAUAACUGGUUAAUAUAACAAUAAAAUUUUUUAUUAACCCA